UCCAUUGAAAUUUUGAAAUGCAUUGACCUC
rnacentral:piRNA from 1 species